CCUGCGCGCGGAGUCGGAGACUCGGAUCGCGCUCCACCAGCCGCCUCUCGCAGCUCUCAUUUGAGCGCGCGGCUUGCGACACACACACACACACACACACACACUUUCUCUCUCUCCUCUUUUCUCCUACAUUCGGACUCAAACAGAAAGAGGAUUUACCAGCAACGGAGGAGCGAAAUGCGAAGAUGUUUCUCCUAGCUGCUCCCGCAGACAGGAAUCCGCUCAGAGAGACGAGAUCCACGCUCUCCCCCAGGAGACGAGUACAAAGGCCAGUCUGCGCGCGGCAGAUGCAAAAAAAAAACCAAGUCCAUCUGCUGUAGGCUUCCCAUUGCCACAUGGAGAUUGAACAGUGAGGGUCACUGACAAGCGAUUGCAUAGGAACACCAGUGAGGAGCCAGCUGUGGGAGCAGACUUUAAAUAUAAAAGACUGACGUAAACACUUCUUGAAUAGGACUUCACUCAUACUCAUAUUCAAUCGUAGAGCUCCUUACAAACACCCAUCGGGGGCUUUGGACUGCAAGGUCAAUGAGGACAAACAAUUCCAGCAGCGGCUCUCCAGCGCAUGCAGAAGAAAGUGUGGGGCGAGGGGGGGGGGAUGGACUCGUGCGCUGGCAGAGCUGGUGUCUCCGAGCGCUGGCAUAAUUUCCAUGGCAACCCCUCUAACUAUUAAUUUUCAAUUAAAGCAGACACAAAACGCCCUGCCCCGAGCUUGAGGAAGGUGUCAAGAGCGCAGAGCAGGAAACUGGGCCUUUCUGGAGCCACUCAGAGCCACUGGGCUCUUUCAUAGUGACAAAAAUCACACUGUAUUUAUUUCACCAAAUCACACCAGUGAUACACUCACAUCCCAACUGAACACAAGCAUGCUAAAAAUUAGCCAUGUUAGAAUUUUUGGGGGGAUUAUAGCCACGUUUAUGUCCCUUGGUGGUUUAGCAGAGGUGUUACCUCCCCCUUGUGUCGGCUUAAAAUCUGACAGGAUACUCAGCUGUCAAUAAAAACCUGUUUUGAGC
ensembl:antisense